rnacentral:rRNA from 1 species
UACAGAGGGUGCAAGCGUUGUUCGGAAUUACUGGGCGUAAAGCGCGUGUAGGCGGUCCAGCAAGUCGGAUGUGAAAGCCCUAGGCUUAACCUAGGAACUGCAUUCGAAACUACUGGACUCGAGUAUCGGAGGGGAUGGCGGAAUUCCCGGUGUAGAGGUGAAAUUCGUAGAUAUCUGGAGGAACACCGGUGGCGAAGGCGGCGUUCUGGACUGCUACUGACACUGAGGAACGAAAGCCAGGGGAGCAAACGGG